rnacentral:rRNA from 1 species
CAGUCGCCGCGGUAAUACGGAGGGUGCAAGCGUUAAUCGGAAUUACUGGGCGUAAAGUGUGCGUAGGCGGUUCGUUAAGUCCGUUGUGAAAGCCCCGGGCUCAACCUGGGAAUGGCAAUGGAUACUGGCGAGCUAGAGUGUGUCAGAGGAUGGUGGAAUUCCCGGUGUAGCGGUGAAAUGCGUAGAGAUCGGGAGGAACAUCAGUGGCGAAGGCGGCCAUCUGGGACAACACUGACGCUGAGGCACGAAAGCGUGGGGAGCAAACAGGAUUAGAUACCCCGGUAGUCCCUGUCUCUUAUAC